CGGCCAACAUCAGCAGGGGCGAGCUGUAGCCCAUGCAACAACAGCCAGGCAAGCUGACCAGCCUGAUGCGGUUGUCACAGGAGCGCGAGGCGUCGGUCAAGAGUGGGCGUGAUCAGAAGGGAAGUGUCACAGAGAAAUGGGUUGUCCCGGGGCGUCAGUCCAGUCUUAGUCUUUAUUUUUGUAUUCGCAUUCUUUUGAAAUUUAUUUUCCAAACGGUCUUGUGUUCUGUGUUUAUCGUUCGAAAAACUUUAUUGAAAUUUGAUGAUUUUCGCUACUUCAUAUUUAAAUCUCUUGUGCA